GAGGCUUUGGCUUAAAUUUAAUAUCUGAGUUGCAAUCAGAAGAUGUGUUAUUAUACAGGCCUUC
rnacentral:tRNA from 1 species